GCCAGUGUAGCGCAGUGGUUUGAGGGUUGGGCUACAGCUCUGGAGAUCAGGGUUCAAUUCCCUGUUUGGCC